UACGUAGGGUGCAAGCGUUGUCCGGAAUUAUUGGGCGUAAAGAGCUCGUAGGCGGUCUGUCGCGUCGGACGUGAAAAUCCAGGGCUCAACCCUGGACCUGCGUUCGAUACGGGCAGACUAGAGUUCGGUAGGGGAGACUGGAAUUCCUGGUGUAGCGGUGAAAUGCGCAGAUAUCAGGAGGAACACCGGUGGCGAAGGCGGGUCUCUGGGCCGAAACUGACGCUGAGGAGCGAAAGCAUGGGGAGCGAACAGG
rnacentral:rRNA from 1 species